rnacentral:rRNA from 1 species
GGCGGACGGGUGAGUAAUGUCUGGGAAACUGCCUGAUGGAGGGGGAUAACUACUGGAAACGGUAGCUAAUACCGCAUAACGUCUUCGGACCAAAGUGGGGGACCUUCGGGCCUCACACCAUCGGAUGUGCCCAGAUGGGAUUAGCUAGUAGGUGGGGUAAUGGCUCACCUAGGCGACGAUCCCUAGCUGGUCUGAGAGGAUGACCAGCCACACUGGAACUGAGACACGGUCCAGACUCCUACGGGAGGCAGCAGUGGGGAAUAUUGCACAAUGGGCGCAAGCCUGAUGCAGCCAUGCCGCGUGUAUGAAGAAGGCCUUCGGGUUGUAAAGUACUUUCAGCGGGGAGGAAGGCGAUAAGGUUAAUAACCUUGUCGAUUGACGUUACCCGCAGAAGAAGCACCGGCUAACUCCGUGCCAGCAGCCGCGGUAAUACGGAGGGUGCAAGCGUUAAUCGGAAUUACUGGGCGUAAAGCGCACGCAGGCGGUCUGUCAAGUCAGAUGUGAAAUCCCCGGGCUUAACCUGGGAACUGCAUUUGAAACUGGCAGGCUAGAGUCUUGUAGAGGGGGGUAGAAUUCCAGGUGUAGCGGUGAAAUGCGUAGAGAUCUGGAGGAAUACCGGUGGCGAAGGCGGCCCCCUGGACAAAGACUGACGCUCAGGUGCGAAAGCGUGGGGAGCAAACAGGAUUAGAUAC